rnacentral:rRNA from 1 species
GGGGAAUUUUCCGCAAUGGGCGAAAGCCUGACGGAGCAAUACCGCGUGAGGGAGGAAUGCCUUUGGGUUGUAAACCUCUUUUCUCAGGGAAGAAGAUCUGACGGUACCUGAGGAAUAAGUAUCGGCUAACUCCGUGCCAGCAGCCGCGGUAAUACGGAGGAUGCAGGCGUUAUCCGGAAUCAUUGGGCGUAAAGCGUCCGCAGGUGGUUUCCAAAGUCUGCUGUUAAAGACUGGAGCUCAACUCCGGAACGGCGGUGGAAACUUGGAAACUAGAGUUCGGUAGGGGUAGCAGGAAUUCCCAGUGUAGCGGUGAAAUGCGUAGAUAUUGGGAAGAACAUCGGUGGCGAAGGCGUGCUACUGGACCGUAACUGACACUCAGGGACGAAAGCUAGGGGAGCGAAAGGGAUUAGAUACCCCUGUAGUCCUAGCUGUAAACGAUGGAAA